AACACAUGCAAGUCGAGCGGUAGAGAGAAGCUUGCUUCUCUUGAGAGCGGCGGACGGGUGAGUAAUGCCUAGGAAUCUGCCUGGUAGUGGGGGAUAACGUUCGGAAACGGACGCUAAUACCGCAUACGUCCUACGGGAGAAAGCAGGGGACCUUCGGGCCUUGCGCUAUCAGAUGAGCCUAGGUCGGAUUAGCUAGUUGGUGAGGUAAUGGCCUACCAAGGCAAUGACGCAUACCUGGUCUGAGAGGAUGAUCAGGCACACUGGAACUGAGACACGGUCCAGACUCCUACGGGAGGCAGCAGUGGGGAAUAUUGGACAAUGGGCGAAAGCCUGAUCCAGCCAUGCCGCGUGUGUGAAGAAGGUCUUCGGAUUGUAAAGCACUUUAAGUUGGGAGGAAGGGCAGUUACCUAAUACGUAAUUGUUUUGACGUUACCGACAGAAUAAGCACCGGCUAACUCUGUGCCAGCAGCCGCGGUAAUACAGAGGGUGCAAGCGUUAAUCGGAAUUACUGGGCGUAAAGCGCGCGUAGGUGGUUAGUUAAGUUGGAUGUGAAAUCCCC
rnacentral:rRNA from 1 species